rnacentral:rRNA from 1 species
CGCUCGACACCUACGGAAGGCAGCAGUGGGGAAUAUUGCACAAUGGGGGAAACCCUGAUGCAGCGACGCCGCGUGAAGGAAGAAGUAUCUCGGUAUGUAAACUUCUAUCAGCAGGGAAGAAAAUGACGGUACCUGACUAAGAAGCCCCGGCUAACUACGUGCCAGUAGCCGCGGUAAUCUGAGCGGGCUGGCAAGGC